AAACCACAUCCGACAGUACUAAGACACUAACCAUGGGAAUGAAGAAUACUGUCUAGUUUGCAUAAAGUAGUUGCUCAGGAAAACACCAUCAUUACACAAGGUAUAUAUAAUAUAUUCUUCUGCAAUUUGUAAUGUGAUUUUGUAUACCGUAAACCUCCGAAUAUAAGCUCCCCUGUGUACUGUAAAGCCCACCACAACGCUCGCCUCACCCCGAAUAUAAGCCCAUUUGUUUAUCACUAUUAAUCACUAUUAUUGCUGUGCUUAACACUUGUUUAUCACUAUUACUAUACUUGUUUAUCACUAUUACAGUACACUAACACAAAAGAUCGUCCAUGUAUAAGCCCCCGUAUAUAAGCCUCUCCCUUGUAUAAUCCCAUCAAAAAUCACAUAUGAAAGAAUAUAAGCCCGAGGCUUAUAGUCGGAGGUUUACGGUAUGCCUUUGCAGGCUUCACCCACUUGGCUUAUGUAGUUGUAAAGACUGUUCACAUGGGCAAUAGAAUAAAAAAGUUAGGAAACUUUAUGCAGACAUAAUGGACUUCAUUAUCUACAUGUUUUUGUCUUGGUUUAUGCAAGAAAUGAUCGGUUCAUCGUCACGUGUGUAUUGUAUUUUUGCUAAAGCAACCAAAAGCUACUGCCAUUUGUGUUCAAGCUUGAAGAGUGCAAAAAUGUUCAGGUUUAUUUACGUUUCAAAGGAUAUCACGCCCGUUUGGCCGAUAAAAUUGAAUCGUUUGAAAAUAUAAAAAUAUUGAUUGUGGAAGAAUAUACUUUUAUUCUUGUAUUCUCGUGAUUCUAAAUUCUAUACAAUCAAUUAUUUACAUUUUGUAGCUGAAUUAAUGUAAUGUUACAUGUUGUAAACAACUUAAAAAACGACUCAUCUUAUGAGUUCAUUGGCGAAGUAAUUUUAAAAAUAAACGUUGUCUAAGCCGAGAAAAUCAAAGUUAAAGUUUAUGUAAAUCAACAUGAAUCUGUAUCACAUAUACAGAUACGACACGCUUAUGAUUUUUCCUUGUGUUUUCUUCAUGAAUUAUUGAUGAGUUUUUUAAUAGGGAUUUACAGCACAAAAAUGUACAAACGUCAUUGGAAUUCAAACAAAACAUGACAUAUUAUGUAACGAAUAAUAACCGUUGCAUGGUUCAAACGACCGGUUUUGUUGGUCAAAAGGGCGCGAUUACCCCCCGGAACAUUGCGUUUAAAACAUAAACAAACGUGGAAAAAAUUUGCACCCUUCAAGCUUGAACGCAAAUGGAAGUAGUUAUGUUUUCAACCAUUGUGUAAUAUCACAACUGCAUGGGUAAUUAAACCAAUUAAUGCUAUUAUUGGUUGGUUGGGCAAGAAAACAUGACCAGCUAAACAGAGAGUUAUGAAGUGGAGAUCGAGUUACUGUAUCUUGGAGAGUUAUGUUCAAACCACACCCACUUUUCCCAACGACCACACCCAAUUUCUUAACUCUCCCAACGUUUCCUUGAACUAACAUCAUGAGAGAGUUAUGUUUUACACAACUCUAUAUCUCUCGUUAACAUUAUGAAAAUGUUAAGGAAUUGUCAUUUUUAUAACUCUCCGCAUUCAUGAUUGCAUCAUGUGGCAAUGAAGAGAGUAAUAAGUCAGUUUUUUGAGAAAACCUUCCACAUAUUAGUACAUUUUACUAAAUUUACAAGUGUCAAUAUUUUACGCUAGUAGAAACUAAUAGUACUUUUGUACUUACCAAGUUCAUCUACAGUAUAUGUAUGUAAAUGUUUAUAUAAAUAUACAUGCUCACUUGGAUUAUCUAGCAAGUCCAGCAUUCAGAUACAUAUUUCUAUGUGAGAGCACCUAUGGAACAUUCUCCCUAGCAAUAUUCGUGACACUUCAAGAUCGUUAGCUUACUUUAAAAUCUCUUUAUUCAAUUACUACUUAAACCUUUUAGAACAAAUAUACAACCCGUACAAUCCUAGAACAUUUAAGUCUGUGUGCGUCAAAUGCCACUCAACUCGGUCUCUUGAUAGUUAUUAGUGAGGACAUGUUGUUGACAUUUUAGCACAAUUUGUUUUAAUGUUAUAUAUUGUAACUUAAUGUGAGGGGCCCCAUAAUUGGAGAUUAUCUCUGUGGCUAGUCCCUGCCCGAAUUGUAUGUAAAUUUUGUCUUAUUUAUGUCUGUUAUGUUUGGCGAAUCUUGUAAAAUUAAAAAAAUUAAAAAUAUUAGAUAGAACAAGAAGAUCUUAAUCCAAUGUAAUGCCCUAUUGGCUGAUCCUGGAAAGUAUUUCCAAGGCCUGAAUUGCUGAAAGAUUCAAUUUUCUUAAUUUUCUUGCAACUUAUUCUUGCCGUAUUUACUGCCAAAUACACGUCAAAACAUGCUUCUGGGGGUACUAAUUGACUGAGUCAAGUUGCAUUUCCUGUUUGGACACAUUCUAUUGACACGCUACAAACUGAAAUACCAAAAAAUAAGAUGAAAAUCUGAAGAAACAAGCUUUACUAACUAAGGUUUUCUUAAAAAAACUGACUUAAUUAACUCUAGAGAUUCAUUGCCAUAAUCGUGAACACGGAGAAAAUGAUAACUCUCUAACAUCUUCAUAAGUUAACGAGAGAGAGUUGCGUCAAACAUAGCUCUUGUAUGUUAGUUCAGGAAACGUUGGGAGAGUUAAAAAAAUGGGUGUGGUUGUUGAGAAAAGUGGGCGUGGUUUGAACAUAACUCUCCAGUCGGUAACUCUCCGGUUGGUAACUCUCCCUUAAGUCAUACCCCAAGAAAACAAUAGAGAGUUUAAGUUCGACUUCCGAUACCGAUGUCUUCACUUCUGUUCUCAUAAAGCGUAAUAAGCUAUGACACGACUGAUAAAGUAUAGAACACAUUAAUCGUCACCGAAAAAAUGACUCAGACAAUGCCAAUAAACAAAUAGUUUACGUGUUUAUUGUAAAAGUUAUGAAAUAUCCGAUUUAUUUGAGUUUAUCUUACAAUUCCCACGACUUCCAAUACAUUAGGCUGAAUUCGAUAGUGGUGACUUCCAAUACACUUGUCCUUGUGCUUCUUGUGAGCAGAGCGCAUGUGCAUGACAUGUUGGUAUUGGAAGUCGAACUUAAACUCUCUAAUACACAUGUGACGAUGAGCCAACCAUUUUUGGCAAAAACCAAGACAAAAACAUAGAUCAUGUAUGGGGUCUAUUAUGUCUGUAUCGAAACAUAACCUUGACUAUGAUCACAUGGGGGCCAAUGAUGGGCCUUUUAACCAUGGAUGGAUAAUAAAAGCAAGGGAUGAUUUAAAAAAAAAUUAUCAACACAAGCAAAAAAUUUUGAGAAAAAAUAAUCGCACAGGUUGGAAAUGCCCGCCCCCCCCCCAUCACUUUUCUAAUGGUCUGUCCCUUAGUUGACUAUGUCACCAUCAAGGGGGGGGUACCUAAUUGGAUGGACAGUUGAUAUACAUACAGUAAGCUACUUCUUAGAAUAUUUAGGGGUGCACCGGGCUGGAACAUCGAUUUUUUAGAGUUCCGGUUCCGGCUGGAACUAGUAAAAAAGCAUGGCCGGAACCAGAACUCUGUCGUUUUCAGAGAUAGAAUAUCAACCGUUUUUGUGUCUAACAAAAGGUCACAGUAGGAAGAAAUUUGGACUAUGCAAGGGAAAUGUACACUAGCACUUCAUUAUGACGUUUAACGCUUGUCAAUCUUAUUAUUCUAACAUUUGCAAGCUCUCUCCUUGAUGACUUGAAGUGUAUGCAACAGAUAAAGUAACAUAUGACUAUAUAUGGCUUAAUAAAUUAGUUCCGGUUCCGGCCAGAACUUUUUUCCAGUUCCGAUUGGAUACGGUUCCAGCCGGAACUUAAAAAACUGGUUCUGGUGCACCCCUAGUUAUAUUAAUUUGCAGGCAAAUACAAGACUAUCGGUACUGCAUAUAAUGAAAAUAAGUAUUUUAUCACUAUGAUAAUUCUCGGUUGAAGCCAUGUAAUUAAAUACUUCUUAUUAACUCCAACUUAAGAUUCUCGCUGGUCAUGACAAUUGUAUCCGAAAGAAAGUGGGGCUUAAUGGAUGCUGGUCGAGUUCUAAACAGGGACCAUCAUGAGGACGUCCAAAUGCACAAAACUAAUUUCGUAUAUGGCAUCUUGAGAAGAAUUUUCACCAAAAUUUUAACAGUGAAGCUUAGUGGUGGCUGUGGAUACUUUUGGUAUAUUAUGUACUUUAAUGGAUUAUAAUGAACAUUUAUGGAUUACUAAGGAUAUUUAUUACCAUGAACAUGUCCGGACAUAUGUACCUCUAUAUUAACGGUUACCCACAGACAUCGAUGUACCUCGAUAAUGGAGCUGCACUAUGGUUAAAGUGAGGUCUACCUUAAGGUACAGAUUUUCAUUGUUAGCCUGCUAUUGGGCAGUAGUUAGCCUGCUAUUAGGCAAUAGUUAGCCUGCUAUCAGGCAAUAGUUACCCUGCUAUCAGGCCAUAGUUAGCCUGUUAUCAGGUAAUGGUUAGCCUGCUAUCAGGCAGUACCUGUAUUUCGGUAUUGAAUUUGUACCCAUGACUCUAGUUUGCAUGUGUGCGGUGAAGUCUCUGGGUAGGCUAAAAAAUGUAGUACAUUUUCACACAAUUUUUCCGAUGCUUGCAUGGUUACAAAACCGUUGACGUAACCUUGACUGUGACAUGCCACAUACUGUUGUGAUUUUUGGCGCUUAUGUUGAAACACGAUUGC
rnacentral:lncRNA from 1 species